rnacentral:rRNA from 1 species
GAUGAACGCUGGCGGCGUGCCUAAUACAUGCCAGUCGAGCGAACAGACGAGGAGCUUGCUCCUCUGACGUUAGCGGCGGACGGGUGAGUAACACGUGGAUAACCUACCUAUAAGACUGGGAUAACUUCGGGAAACCGGAGCUAAUACCGGAUAAUAUAUUGAACCGCAUGGUUCAAUAGUGAAAGACGGUUUUGCUGUCACUUAUAGAUGGAUCCGCGCCGCAUUAGCUAGUUGGUAAGGUAACGGCUUACCAAGGCGACGAUGCGUAGCCGAACUGAGAGGGUGAUCGGACACACUGGAACUGAGACGCGGGCCAGACUCCUACGAGAGGCAGAAGUAGGGAAUCUUCCGCAAUGGGCGAAAGCCUGACGGAGCAACGCCGCGUGAGUGAUGAAGGUCUUCGGAUCGUAAAACUCUGUUAUUAGGGAAGAACAAAUGUGUAAGUAACUAUGCACGUCUUGACGGUACCUAAUCAGAAAGCCACGGCUAACUACGUG